AUUGAACGCUGGCGGCAGGCCUCACACAUGCAAGUCGAACGAGUGGCGGACGGGUGAGUAAUGUCUGGGAAACUGCCUGAUGGAGGGGGAUAACUACUGGAAACGGUAGCUAAUACCGCAUAACAGCAGCUGUGCCCAGAUAGGAUUAGCUUGUUGGUGGGGUAACGGCUCACCAAGGCGACGAUCCCUAGCUGGUCUGAUAGGAUGACCAGCCAAACUGGAACGGAGACACGGUCCAGACUCCUACGGGAGGCAGCAGGGGGGAAGAGUGCACAAUGGGAGCAAGCCUGAUGCAGCCAUGCCGCGUGUAUGAAGAAGGCCUUCGGGUUGGAAAGUACUUUCAGCGGGGAGGCGUUACCCGCAGAAGAAGCACCGGCUAACUCCGUGCCAGCAGCCGCGGUAAUUC
rnacentral:rRNA from 1 species